GCGAACGCUGGCGGCAGGCCUAACACAUGCAAGUCGAACGAACCUUCGGGUUAGUGGCGGACGGGUGAGUAACACGUGGGAACGUGCCUUUUGGUUCGGAACAACUCAGGGAAACUUGAGCUAAUACCGAAUGUGCCCUUCGGGGGAAAGAUUUAUCGCCAUUAGAGCGGCCCGCGUCUGAUUAGCUUGUUGGUGAGGUAAAGGCUCACCAAGGCUACGAUCAGUAGCUGGUCUGAGAGGAUGAUCAGCCACAUUGGGACUGAGACACGGCCCAAACUCCUACGGGAGGCAGCAGUGGGGAAUCUUGCGCAAUGGGCGAAAGCCUGACGCAGCCAUGCCGCGUGAAUGAUGAAGGUCUUAGGAUUGUAAAAUUCUUUCACCGGGGACGAUAAUGACGGUACCCGGAGAAGAAGCCCCGGCUAACUUCGU
rnacentral:rRNA from 1 species